CCCUUAGAUGUUCUGGGCCGCACGCGCGCUACACUGACGAAUGCAACGAGCUUAUAACCUUGGCCGAAAGGUCUGGGUAAUCUCCAAAUUUCGUCGUGAUGGGGAUAGAUUAUUGCAAUUAUUAAUCUUCAACGAGGAAUGCCUAGUAAGCGCAAGUCAUCAGCUUGCGUUGAUUACGUCCCUGCCCUUUGUACACACCGCCCGUCGCUCCUACCGAUUGAAUGGUCCGGUGAAGCGUUCGGACCGUGGCCUUUGGACGGUUCGCCGUCUGUUGGCUGCGGGAAGUUCGUUAAACCUUAUCAGUUAGAGGAAGGAGAAGUCGUANCA
rnacentral:rRNA from 1 species